rnacentral:rRNA from 1 species
CCUACGGGUGGCAGCAGUGAGGAAUAUUGGUCAAUGGACGAGAGUCUGAACCAGCCAAGUAGCGUGAAGGAUGACUGCCCUAUGGGUUGUAAACUUCUUUUAUAUGGGAAUAAAAUGUUCCACGUGUGGGAGUUUGUAUGUACCAGAUGAAUAAGGAUCGGCUAACUCCGUGCCAGCAGCCGCGGUAAUACGGAGGAUCCGAGCGUUAUCCGGAUUUAUUGGGUUUAAAGGGUGCGUAGGUGGAUUGUUAAGUCAGUUGUGAAAGUUUGGGGCUCAACCGUAAAAUUGCAGUUGAAACUGGCAGUCUUGAGUUCAGUAGAGGUAGGCGGAAUGCGUGGUGUAGCGGUGAAAUGCUUAGAUAUCACGAAGAACUCCGAUUGCGAAGGCAGCUCACUGGACUGCAACUGACACUGAGGCUCGAAAGUGUGGGUAUCAAACAGGAUUAGAUACCCUAGUAGUC